ensembl:lncRNA
CUGGUUAUCAGCUACCUUUCAUGUUAAAAGUAGCCAAAGUGAGUAAACAGGCGAAUGCUGCAUUUUUCUGGCGACUUUAGAAAGUACCGCGUGGAGCUAAACUGUUAGCCUUCAUUAGCUCUAGUUGUUAUCAACUGCCUGAAAGUUCAUCUCAUUCUGCUUCCAGAAGUAAGGUCAGGGUUUUUUUUGUAUGCUGAAUUGUUCCUGAGGUGGAUUCCUCCGGUGAAAUAGAUGGCGAGCCUUCCCACCUGGACUUAGAGAGACUGAGAUUCGCUUCUUUUCCACUAAAUGAUCUGCUGCACCUUGCGGUGUGGUAGGACUGUAUCACUCACACUUUCACACACAGCUGGUUAUACAUAAGACCACUGACUGACAUUCUCUCACCCCUAUUUUCUUUCACACCCUGGGAAUUUUUUGGACUAUACCCCUUGGACAUUUUUUAUUUGGGACUUUAAAUAAUAAGCUGUUGUGUAGAACAUUCUCCACAUGUGAAAAGAGUGUGAGAUUUUCAUUUGAAUGUACAUUGGAUUUGUGUAAUCUGUUUCUAUAAGAGUUAAGGAGUCAGAUUACUAGGGUGCACCCGAGCAUUGAAACCCGAGCUUUGAAACCCAACAUUGAAAACCAAAAGUAACACUUGGCCAAGUCAUUAUUUUAGCAGUUUAUGUGUUUUACUUUUCUUUCAUUUUUGUAAGUUUCCUUUCUGCAAUUGUAAAGUGCCUUUAACCUGUGCUUGACAACCUUAUAGUUUAUUUCACUAAAGUCGGCUGGUUCUUUUGAGUUACAUUCAUGUCUCUGUGUCUCAUUUAAACACACCCCUGUGCUCCUAUAGUCGAACCUAUUGGCCCAUUUAUAUAUUCUUUUCAACAAUUCCCC